AAGUCGUAACAAGGUUUCCGUAGGUGAACCUGCGGAAGGAUCAUCAUUAAAUCCAUUUAUACACCCUUGUGAACUGUGCGCUAAAGUUGCUACGCAUGUCGUGUAACUUUUGUUGCAAAAACAACUUAUUUAAUUAAGCUGAAGCAAUUUAUUUUAAAUUAAACAACUUUCAACAAUGGAUCUCUUGGCUCUC
rnacentral:misc_RNA from 1 species